rnacentral:lncRNA from 1 species
UUGAAUGCAUGGAGAAGCUUACCGGUUUGAAAGAAAUGGCUCAUAGUGGCAAUUAUAUAUUCUUUAAUUAAUAUUUUCUUGAUGAAUUUUAUAAUCUUCCAUAAUUAUUUGCUCGAAAGGGCUAAAUUGAAUGGCAUAAUAAUAUUAUUAUAUCAGCUACCAACCCAAUAAAAUUUAUAUAAUUAUACCACUUGAAGGGCCUAAUAGUUUUAAAUAUUGGAGGAUUAUAC